rnacentral:tRNA from 1 species
AAAGAAAUUAGGUUCAAACCUUUAAACCGAGGGCCUUCAAAGCCCUAAAAGAGGGUAACCACCCCCUCAUUUCUUG